rnacentral:rRNA from 1 species
AUUGAACGCUGGCGGCAUGCUUUACACAUGCAAGUCGAACGGUAACAGGCCGCAAGGUGCUGACGAGUGGCGAACGGGUGAGUAAUGCAUCGGAACGUGCCCAGUCGUGGGGGAUAACUGCUCGAAAGAGCAGCUAAUACCGCAUACGAUCUAUGGAUGAAAGCGGGGGACCGUAAGGCCUCGCGCGAUUGGAGCGGCCGAUGUCAGAUUAGGUAGUUGGUGGGGUAAAGGCUCACCAAGCCAACGAUCUGUAGCUGGUCUGAGAGGACGACCAGCCACACUGGGACUGAGACACGGCCCAGACUCCUACGGGAGGCAGCAGUGGGGAAUUUUGGACAAUGGGGGCAACCCUGAUCCAGCAAUGCCGCGUGCAGGAAGAAGGCCUUCGGGUUGUAAACUGCUUUUGUACGGAACGAAACGGUCUGGGUUAAUACCCUGGGCUAAUGGCGGUACCGUAAGAAUAAGCACCGGCUAACUACGUGCCAGCCGCCGCGGUAAUAC